rnacentral:rRNA from 1 species
UACGUAGGGACCAAGCGUUGUUCGGAUUUACUGGGCGUAAAGGGCGCGUAGGCGGCAUAUUAAGUCAGCUGUGAGAUCUCCGAGCUUAACUCGGAACUGUCAGCUGAUACUGAUGUGCUAGAGUGCAGAAAGGGCAAUCAGAAUUCUUGGUGUAGCGGUGAAAUGCGUAGAUAUCAAGAGGAAUACCUGAGGCGAAGGCGGGUUGCUAGGCUGACACUGACGCUGAGGCGCGAAAGCCAGGGGAGCAAACGGG